rnacentral:rRNA from 1 species
GGUGAUAUGAACCGUUAUAACCGGCGAUGUCCGAAUGGGGAAACCCAGUGUGAUUCGUCACACUAUCGUUAACUGAAUACAUAGGUUAACGAGGCGAACCGGGGGAACUGAAACAUCUAAGUACCCCGAGGAAAAGAAAUCAACCGAGAUUCCCCCAGUAGCGGCGAGCGAACGGGGAGCAGCCCAGAGUCUGAAUCAGCUUGUGUGUUAGUGGAACGGUCUGGAAAGUCCGACGGUACAGGGUGAUAGUCCCGUACACCAAAAUGCACAGGCUGUGAACUCGAAGAGUAGGGCGGGACACGUGGUAUCCUGUCUGAAUAUGGGGGGACCAUCCUCCAAGGCUAAAUACUCCUGACUGACCGAUAGUGAACCAGUACCGUGAGGGAAAGGCGAAAAGAACCCCGGCGAGGGGAGUGAAAAAGAACCUGAAACCGUGUACGUACAAGCAGUGGGAGCACCUUCGGGUGUGACUGCGUACCUUUUGUAUAAUGGGUCAGCGACUUAUAUUCUGUAGCAAGGUUAACCGUAUAGGGGAGCCGCAGGGAAACCGAGUCUUAACUGGGCGUUAAGUUGCAGGGUAUAGACCCGAAACCCGGUGAUCUAGCCAUGGGCAGGUUGAAGGUUGGGUAACACUAACUGGAGGACCGAACCGACUAAUGUUGAAAAAUUAGCGGAUGACUUGUGGCUGGGGGUGAAAGGCCAAUCAAACCGGGAGAUAGCUGGUUCUCCCCGAAAGCUAUUUAGGUAGCGCCUCGUGAAUUCAUCUUCGGGGGUAGAGCACUGUUUCGGCUAGGGGGUCAUCCCGACUUACCAACCCGAUGCAAACUACGAAUACCGAAGAAUGUUAUCACGGGAGACACACGGCGGGUGCUAACGUCCGUCGUGAAGAGGGAAACAACCCAGACCGCCAGCUAAGGUCCCAAAGUCAUGGUUAAGUGGGAAACGAUGUGGGAAGGCACAGACAGCCAGGAUGUUGGCUUAGAAGCAGCCAUCAUUUAAAGAAAGCGUAAUAGCUCACUGGUCGAGUCGGCCUGCGCGGAAGAUGUAACGGGGCUAAACCAUGCACCGAAGCUGCGGCAGCGACACUAUGUGUUGUUGGGUAGGGGAGCGUUCUGUAAGCCUGCGAAGGUGACCUGUGAGGGUUGCUGGAGGUAUCAGAAGUGCGAAUGCUGACAUAAGUAACGAUAAAGCGGGUGAAAAGCCCGCUCGCCGGAAGACCAAGGGUUCCUGUCCAACGUUAAUCGGGGCAGGGUGAGUCGACCCCUAAGGCGAGGCCGAAAGGCGUAGUCGAUGGGAAACAGGUUAAUAUUCCUGUACUUGGUGUUACUGCGAAGGGGGGACGGAGAAGGCUAUGUUAGCCGGGCGACGGUUGUCCCGGUUUAAGCAUGUAGGCUGAUUGUCCAGGCAAAUCCGGAUAAUCAAGGCUGAGGUGUGAUGACGAGGCACUACGGUGCUGAAGUAACAAAUGCCCUGCUUCCAGGAAAAGCCUCUAAGCAUCAGGUAACAUCAAAUCGUACCCCAAACCGACACAGGUGGUCAGGUAGAGAAUACCAAGGCGCUUGAGAGAACUCGGGUGAAGGAACUAGGCAAAAUGGUGCCGUAACUUCGGGAGAAGGCACGCUGGUGUGUAGGUGAAGUCCCUGCGGAUGGAGCUGAGACCAGUCGAAGAUACCAGCUGGCUGCAACUGUUUAUUAAAAACACAGCACUGUGCAAACACGAAAGUGGACGUAUACGGUGUGACGCCUGCCCGGUGCCGGAAGGUUAAUUGAUGGGGUUAUCCGUAAGGAGAAGCUCUUGAUCGAAGCCCCGGUAAACGGCGGCCGUAACUAUAACGGUCCUAAGGUAGCGAAAUUCCUUGUCGGGUAAGUUCCGACCUGCACGAAUGGCGUAAUGAUGGCCAGGCUGUCUCCACCCGAGACUCAGUGAAAUUGAACUCGCUGUGAAGAUGCAGUGUACCCGCGGCAAGACGGAAAGACCCCGUGAACCUUUACUAUAGCUUGACACUGAACAUUGAGCCUUGAUGUGUAGGAUAGGUGGGAGGCUUUGAAGCGUGGACGCCAGUCUGCGUGGAGCCAACCUUGAAAUACCACCCUUUAAUGUUUGAUGUUCUAACGUUGGCCCCUUACCGGGGUUGCGGACAGUGUCUGGUGGGUAGUUUGACUGGGGCGGUCUCCUCCCAAAGCGUAACGGAGGAGCACGAAGGUUAGCUAAUCCUGGUCGGACAUCAGGAGGUUAGUGCAAUGGCAUAAGCUAGCUUGACUGCGAGCGUGACGGCGCGAGCAGGUGCGAAAGCAGGUCAUAGUGAUCCGGUGGUUCUGAAUGGAAGGGCCAUCGCUCAACGGAUAAAAGGUACUCCGGGGAUAACAGGCUGAUACCGCCCAAGAGUUCAUAUCGACGGCGGUGUUUGGCACCUCGAUGUCGGCUCAUCACAUCCUGGGGCUGAAGUAGGUCCCAAGGGUAUGGCUGUUCGCCAUUUAAAGUGGUACGCGAGCUGGGUUUAGAACGUCGUGAGACAGUUCGGUCCCUAUCUGCCGUGGGCGCUGGAGAAUUGAGGGGGGCUGCUCCUAGUACGAGAGGACCGGAGUGGACGCAUCACUGGUGUUCGGGUUGUCAUGCCAAUGGCACUGCCCGGUAGCUAAAUGCGGAAGAGAUAAGUGCUGAAAGCAUCUAAGCACGAAACUUGCCCCGAGAUGAGUUCUCCCUGAGACUUUAAGUCUCCUGAAGGAACGUUAAAGACGAUGACGUUGAUAGGCCGGGUGUGUAAGCGCAGCGAUGCGUUGAGCUAACCGGUACUAAUGAACCGUGAGGCUUAACCUU